rnacentral:rRNA from 1 species
GGGUUAGUAGGUUGGUCAUGCCUCUGCUAUGUACUGGUCUCACUGAUUCCUCCUUCCUGAUGGACCUUAAUGCCAUUAAUUUGGCGUUUUGGGGAAUUUGGACUGUUACUUUGAAAAAAUUAGAGUGUUUAAAGCAAGCUAACGCUUGAAUACAUUAGCAUGGAAUAAUGAAAUAGGACGUUCGAUCCUAUUUUGUUGGUUGCUAGGAUUGACGUA